AAAUUAUAAUUAUUAAUUAUUUUUAGAAUCACUGUGAAUUUAUGCCUUCAGAAAGUUGGCCUCAUUCUCUGAGGCUGAAAUAAUUUUGAUCAUAGUUGCUUCUAGCCUAAAAUUACUCCUAGUCAGCUUAAGAUGCCUCUUGGGGGCAAAAAAAAAAAAAAGAAAAAAUACAGUAAACAUCUGAUAAUAGAUAUAAACAAUUAGCCCACUGAAAUACUAACCUAAGUUAGACUAAGAUGGAACUGCCUAACUAUAUAUGUAUAAAUACAAACUUUACUUAUGACUAUUGUUAUUAUGAUGUGGUCAUAAUUGAUAUUAAAAAUAAAGUGAUAGAAAGUAUAUCAGGUAUAAACGAUGAAGAUCAGAGAACUUUUAAUAAAAAAAUUAGAAUUAGAUGAAUGGUUCAAUGGAUGGAAGUUAUUUCACCACCUGUUCCGAGGGGAAAUUUUAUCUGCAAAUGUCUUACAACCCAGUAGAGGAGGCAUUCUUAAAUACGUUGGAGAGCGGUGCCAUCGCUCUGAUUGGCAGGCAGAGUCUUUCACGCUAGCUGUGACUGGACAGACACACAGUAGUCUCCGGGCCUUCUGGGCCCCAGGGGUGCAGGCCCCUUUCAGGUCCUCAAAAUUCACUUUCUGGCAGUCAGAACCCUAAGGGCUCCCACACAGUCCUGUUUUUUUAUUGGCUGAAUUCUAAUAUAAAAACGAUGUUAAAUUUUAGUUGCUGAGCCGGACCUUGUAGACUAGAGAUAGUGGCUUCCAAUAUUUAAGAUUUAGUUUCUAAGUUCUCAACCCAUGCAUACUCAAAAUACAUUCUAUAAAAUGCACCUGAAACUGUGAGUGAACUCUGUCCACAUGGGAGAUGUACACGGAGAAAGAGAUUGUUUAUAAAAAUUUAUAUGAUUUGGACUGAAGUAAAUUACAGAGGAUCAAAAAAUGAAAGUUAGUUGGCAACUUUAAAAUGAAUAAUUUUGGUUAAUAAAUAUAAUUCCAAAACAGAAAUUUCAUGUGUACACCUUAAAAGGCAUAAACCUUGCCUCGUAUCACAUAUCCAUUAAAGUGACCAUGAUAUGGCAUCUUUAAUUUGGAAGGUAAUUUCAGAUUCUUAGCCAAAAAGAGUCUCUCUUGUGCUUUACUUUUCUGGGCUGUACAUAUAUCAGAGAUAUGUGAUCACUGAAACUCUAAAGGAUAUUUGUUUCUCUUAAUAGCAUAACAGAAAAUUAAUGGCGUGGGGGAGGGUGAAGUGACAACUUAACUUGAUGCUUGAUAGCUGUUUACUUAUAAAUGUGCGCCCAGAUUUCAGUGUCCUGGAAAAGAGAGGGAAAAUAAAGAAACCAAAGCAUUCAUAUGGCUUUUAGGGAACUUAAGACACAUGGAAGAAAGUGCUUACUUAGAAGGCUAUUGAAAUAUUUACAAAACAAAUCAUUUACAUUUAACGUUUGUAUAUGUAAAACCUGGAGCGCCCACAAAAAGACGGAAUCAACUUUAGCUAUAAGAAAUAUUUUGGCAUCAAAAUGGUUAAUAGUAUUAUAGCUUCAAAAGAGCCCAUUGGCUCACCCUCAAGGAUGCCCGGCAGUUGUUGUUAAAGUCAUCAGAUGAAGCUAGCCUUCUCAGCUAGCCUUUAGAUUUGUCUGCUAACAGUAAAAAUACUAUAAUAAAUCGGUAACAUAUGUUGCCAGACAAGGAAAAGUGAUACAAAUAAAGAGACUAAGAGACCCAAACCAAGUACAAUGUGAAAAGAAUUUAACUUUCAAUCUAUUCGUUGGCUAAUUACCAUUUGAAAAGUAAUUUGAAAGUGUUACUGUUAUUUGCUUAUGUUCUUCCUCAUCUUUCUUUUUUUUUUCCUCUUCAGAUUGCAUUCUUACCCAAAUACUCUUCCGAGAUUGACUGUUUUGCGGCUUUGGGGUUUCUUCUGCAGCCACCAGCACCUAAGACACUCAGGGACUCUUUCGGAGAGCAAGGUGUAAGUGGAGUAAAUAAAAUCAUGUUUUACUGUUGCUUUAUCAACCCUCCUAGGUAGUUUCCCUGCCAGCCAACCUGCACUGUUAAGACCCAUAAAAUUAUGCAAUAGUGACUUCUUUGGAGGUUCUCUAAUCAGAUAAUGGCCGGUGUUAGGAGGAAAGGGCCCAAGGCAAUGGUGCUGGCACUUAACACGGGUUGGUCAUUACUUGUCUGGUAGAGACCAAUAAACAGCUGAUUACUAUCCUAUAAGGAGCCAAUAUUUUACAUUUAUCCUAGUUAUUUUUUUCUUGUCUCUUCAACUUCUUAUAACAGCAAGUAUUUGUCAAGAAGAUCUAUGAGGAAUAACCUCACAGGCCCUUUAAAAAUAAGAAUCUUCCUAGCAUGAAAUGAUGCCUUUUGUGAAAUGAUCCUUCAGGGGGUGGAGAGCUUCAUAUGGAUCGAAAUCCCGGGUUUCUCAUCAUGUAAGUCUAUUUUUGGUUAUACGUUUUCUUUCUUUCUUUAUUUCUUGUUUAUUCUAUAAAUAACCUAGACUCAUGGAAUAUACACUUCAUCUUUUAAAUUCACAAACUGAGUUCAGUUUUUCAUUCACCAAGAACAAACUCAAAAAUCUAAAACUUGAUAUUUUGAGGUUUGUAUUUCCAAAUAUUAAAAAUCCCUUCCUUCCCUGAUGGCCCCACCCUGGUUCUUAAGUGGCCUGUUUCAGACAAAAGAAAAUAACAUCCCCCUUUUGAAGUAGCAAAUGUUAGAUUCUCCCAAGGCCAACUGGGGACUCACUGGAAGUUUUGCCAUUAGAUUCAUACAAAUUGAAUUAUUUUCAUUCUCCCAAACAUCGUUCUUCGAACUCCAUAAAUGUAACAAUGCUGGUCUAGAGUUUCAUGCAUCUUGUUUACAAAUAAAGGUAUUGUGACAGAAGCCAAGCCCUGUGCACUUCGGAAAAACAAAGCCCUGGAACAAUCUCAUAUUAAAACAUUACCAAAGGAUUGCAAAGGGAAAUUUAAGGGGAGAAAACUUGAUUAUAUAAUGCAAUCCAGCAGUAAUCAAUUUUACCUUCAAUAUCUUGCUUUUGUUUUCAAAAUGCUAAAUAAACAAUACAUAAUGCAUCCCUCAUCAGCCAAACCAUGGAGGCUCUGUGCUCAAAUAACAGGAAACAUAUUCAAUUUUCCUAACAGAAGACAGUUCAUUAAGCUGUGCCACAUCAAAUAAAACUUUAAUUUCUCUAGCAUCAGAGUCGCAAUGAAAGCAAUUGAAGAAGAUGAGCCAUAUGGUACUUCUAUCAGCAAACACAUAUUGCUCAUUCCCCCAAAGUUUUCUAAUUCUGCUCCCCAGACCUGUGUAAUAUAGAUAAUGUGCUCCGAGAGCAGCAACCAUGAGCUAUCUAGUGUACACUUCUAAUACUGUAUUUAAUGGGAAAUAAUGAAUCAUAAAAGCCUAGAGAAGACGGCUUUUGCUAACCUAAAUCUCAGCUGUAAUUUCAUUGUUCUGUGCCUAAGAUGCUGUUUGCCCUUUUCAAACAACAGCAGUUGAACAUAAUUAUGCUGCUUCAAACCUGGGCUUGAAAAAGCAUCCCUAAUAUAACCAAGUUUCUAUUAACUCCUGAAAUUCUGAAUUUAAUGACGCGCCAAUGCAGACACUGGGAUAACCGAGCAUGUGUCAUUUUAAAACCCAAAUAAGCAUUUUCUCCUUCUUCUCUUUGGCCGGGCUGCUCCAUGCAUUUAUGUUCCCUCCUCCAACCCCUUCUGCACCCCACCCCGUCAUGCAACAGGAGUGGCAUUAAAAAUGAGGAGAUUUUCUUGUUAUUAGCAAAUUUGACAUUUGCCUGAUGAAAUGCACAUAAAAUGUGAAAGCUACACAGUAUUCAGAAGAAAUGUCUCCACUCCAAUCCAAGCUAGCAAGAUGAAAUAAUUUAGGUAAAGGAAAUGCAGAGAUCCCAUACAUCUCUACUGCAAAAUGCCUGGAUGGUAUGUAUUAUCAAUGAAAGAGCCAAAAAUUGCUGGGCUUUUACAGUGACGGUAUUUGACACAUGUGCUGUGUAUAGUGCUUCCCCUCUCGCCUUAACUGCUUUGAUUGUGAAUCUAAACAUAAUACAUAGGUUCGAAUGCAGCAAUUUUUGUGUCAUUGGUCCAGCCUGUUUCUGGCAAGAUCUUGGGGCUGGAGCUUAAUUCCCUUUCAGGAAUUAUUAAACAAUUUCAAAAGUGUUCCUCCCCCUGCCCACAGGUUGAUGAUUUUAGUUUUUCCAUUUUUAAAGCUCAUCAAAUCCAUAUUUUACCAACACAAUGCUAAUUUCAAGACACCAUCAAAAACACUACAGAUACAUAUUGAAAACAUUUUAAUGGUUUUGUUUGUGUUGGCAUCAUAUGAACCAAGGACAAUUAAAUUAAAAAGAGACUUUUAAAAGUUAGAGAUUGGCUUUUUAAAGCUUAUUAAAAUCAGCAUGUUACAUGUCUGUCUCUGAAUUAGCUCUCUACGCACUUGAUUGUAGCUCUCUGCACACCAUCAUUAAAACUAGUUGUUUGGGUGCUGUUCUCUGUGCUGGUUCAGAGCCUUUCUCAAAGCUAGUUCUUACCAGUUAUUAACUUGAAACCUCUUUUCAUUGAAAUGAAAAAAAAAAUCAUCCUAGCCCAUGAAAGAAACAGUCUCCAAAAUGUGAAAUAAGCACAGCGAGACAGCAACAUUAAACCAUGAAAAGACCAACAGGUAAAAUAACCCCAGUAACAUCUAAAACACACUCAGGGAAAAAAAAUCACAACAACAACACAGAAGCAGUCCAUUGAUUAUAUUUCAUGAAUGCCUUAAAACAAAUGUUUAAACAGUUUUCUGAAACAGCGCAGAAAACCGGGGCAUGCUCCACUGGGCUGCAGUGACAAUGGUCUAUUGCAAUGUAAAACACGCUGGAGGAUAAAAAGGUGCUUUUUGUUACCAUUUUAUCAAAGCUGUUCAUCUUCAAGCUGCAGGCAGCAUUUUGCUGGAAUUGCAGAUAUUUCUCUGUCCAGGCUCCUUUGUUUGUGCAUCUCAUUUGCAUAUAUUUAUCUCCAGCUGAGGGUGCUUUCUGCUCAUUAAGGCCUCCCUUCACAUUAUUUCAUAAGCCAGCUGCUAAGAGGGAUUUCACCUGUGGUGACUGAGAAAAGAGGGGUGAAAAACUAAAUUCUUCAUAAAAAAGGAAAUCUUCUGAGUCUCUUCCCCUAUAAAUGGGCACCAUUUGUGUUAAACAGCCUCUUGUCAUGAUAGAUGCCUCCAGAGGUCAGGGGUUAAAGUUGAUUUGAAGGUCAGCAGUAAAACAACAGACAAACCAGACGCCAAACUGGUUCCUUAGCUGUCGGUGGGAGCUGUGGUACAAACAGGUCUUGAACCUUUUUCAACCUCUAAUAAAACAGGGGAUGAAUCUGAAGUGGAUCAACCAGGCCCCUGAGGCAGCAGCACAGAAAAACACAAAUAAUAUCAAUAUCAGGCAGCCACAGGAAACAAUGGGGCAUUUCUCCGUGCUACAUGCAUGCUGCUAUUGUUUCAAGGGCUAGGGAAUUAAUUCCACUUAUUUAUUUAAGGCGUGUCAACUCACUGCCUAAACCUGUUUCAGUGUCAAGAUGAAUAAAACUUUUAUGGCUCAUAAAAUAGAGCCAUUCAUCUCAAUGUUCUUUGUGGUGCGUGUUUUUUUUUUUUUUCUGGCACAUUGAGCUAGGCCUCUGCUCCUAAAUGGUUACAUCUGAACCCACUGUGGCUACAAUCCACACCAUAUUAGAGAAAAAAAUUAUUUCACUGGCAAAUGGAUCGAAACAGAAAUGACAUAGGAAAGCAUUUUAGCUGUGAUGUAAUAGUCCCAAAAUUCCUCCUAAAUACUCCUCAUGCAGUUGCAUCUGUUUUGAGCAUGCAUUAUUUACAAAGCAGAAGUUUUGCUAUUUUAGAGAAAAGUUCAAAACUGAGAGCAAUAAAAAAUUAGUUUUCUAGAAUGUUAUCUAUAUCAUAUUGUGUUAGUAAUGCAACCUCAUUAGGAUAGCUCUUUCCCACCCAUCAUUUUUGCCCAAGGUUUUCCUGUUGUAUAGUCAGCUUGCACCCAUGUAAUAAUCAAUGUCUUCUUUAGCUCUACUGGUUUGAAUUUUAUGUUUAGUGUUAAACAUAGAUGGAAAAGAAAAUGCAUUUAAAUGUAUUUUGUAUUAUAAAGUUUUUCAAAGUUCAGUCACAGAAUUAAUUUUACUUUUGAUUCCCAACUAAUGAUUUUAAUAACAAUGUAAUAUUAAUAACAAGUAUUUAUAUUUUAUAUGAAGUGCCACACACAGUACUAAGCACUUUUCUCUUGCGAUUAUUAGUGAUACUUCAACCCAAGUCACACAAACCCAUGCAAAAUGGAAUGUAAUAAUAACAUUCUUCAUUAUUCAGGAUAUACCUUAGUUAAAACAAAAAGUUCCAAUCAAACAAAUAUCAUUAUAGCAGAUGAUUUAACAAGUAACUUCAUGGGCACAUGAUUGCCUUAUAUUGAGCUAAAAGAAACAAUUUGAUGAUAUUUCAGAAUCUCUGCAAUCACAGCUUAUAUAAUGUACAUCAUAGCUCUUUGCUCUAUCACAAUGUAAAUUGAUUUGUGGACAAUUCACUUACUAUGGUGUCUCAGUUGCUUUGCUUUUGAGCUCUACAAUGAAUAGUGUAGCUUCUGCUCAUGAUACUAGAUUAUUUCUAAUUUAGUCCAUUGGUAGGUCAGAGCUUUUCCCAUGAACUCAAGUAGAUUAUUUGAGAUCAGCCCAAACAGAAGUUGUGCUUCUGCAUGUUGCUCGAGCACACAGAUGCAGCCCUGAGAGGAGUUCGGUUUAUGGGUGCCAAGCACUGCUCAAGACUUAAUUGCUCUUCACGUUCCAUUUGAACUGCUGCAUGUACUGAUCUCUUUGCCUAGGGGUGGCCCAUUUACCAAGCAACCCUGUUUGAAAAUGGAAUUGCUUUGGAGUGGGCCACCAGGCCCUGAGAAAAAUACUUCAGCUCAAAAUUGAUUGGGAUUUAGUAAUCUGAGGCGGCAUGUUCUCAUUUAAGCGUGGAGCAGGAGAUUUUCUCUUCUGUAACCGAUUACUGUUUAAAAAAUGCAAGUAGUCUUGCUUCAUACAAGGAGCUCAACUUGAGGUUGGAGACAUUUUCCACCUUAUUAAAUGUUGUUUAUAUCCUCCUCUCUGUAAACCGUCUGCCUUCCCAAAGCAUUUUAUAGCUCCCUCUGUGUCUGACUUACCAAUUUUCUUCCGGACCUUCCACAUUAAACUUAACCCCACUCUCACCCCCAAACCUAGAACCUCCGAGCAACUAGACGAAAGUAAAAACACAGUUUGCUCUCUGCCAAGUCUGCACCCAUGUCUCUCAUUUUUCUUCUCCUCUAAUCUAAUCACUGAUUCUUAAGCUUGGCCAAAUAGUUAAAAAUGUUAAGUGCUAGCAAAGCCUUUUACCUCCCCCUCAUAUCUGUCUCUGUUUAUGGAACGGACCCGGUUUCCUCCUCUUCUCCUUCGGCCCGGAGUCUCCAGGUCAGAACACUGUAAAUACACACGGCCCUGGCAGAUCCAUAAAUCUGAGCAAAGGGCAGGCUUAUAUAUUCAGAUAAGCACGGUGGGGCAGGGGCCGGGAGGGACAGAGAACCAGCAGAAUCUGAUGCUCUGCAGCCUCGUUCAGGGAAGAGAACAAAAGAGGCCAAGAACCUUUAGUGGGGAGGGGGAAAAGAUUUUUGUCUUAAAACAUCCCUCCUAAUUUCUGAGGGAUGAGGAGGUUGGCACUGCUUCUUCCUUU